UACGUAGGGUGCAGGCGUUAAUCGGAAUUACUGGGCGUAAAGCGUGCGCAGGCGGCUUCCUAAGUCAGAUGUGAAAUCCCCGGGCUCAACCUGGGAACUGCGUUUGAAACUGGGAGGCUAGAGUGCGGCAGAGGGGGGUGGAAUUCCUGGUGUAGCGGUGGAGUGCGCAGAUAUCAGGAAGAACACCCGUGGCGAAGGCGGCUCUCUGGAACGCAACUGACGCUGAGACGCGAAAGCGUGGGGAGCAAACAGG
rnacentral:rRNA from 1 species